CUUGUGUCCAGUGGUCAGGAAGGACAGAUGCCCCACAGCAUUCGGGAUCUCUCCUCAUAGAAAUGGCCAGCCCCACUGUCACUGAACGGCCUGUCAGGGAAGGGGAGAUGUGUCUGACAUAUUCAGAGUCCAGAUACUAAAAGCAGAGAAAAACUGCAGUGUGCCUGGAUACGUAUCACUGCACUGGAAUAGUUUGUCCUUUUUGUCCUGUGCUCACAAGAGAUUCUUCAUGUGCAUCUCGGAUCUUUGGGUCCUUUUUACGGUGCAGUGAACACUUCUGGCAUAAGAUAUAGUGAUUAUUGCGAUAAGGAAACCCUCGUGUCGCGACCCACUGGCGUCUGGCUAAUCCGAUGGUAUUCGUCGCCGCAUUGUCCGUGAUCAAUAACUAAUUAUCAAAGUGGCAUUUCUUUUCAAGAGCUCCUUGUUAAAAAAUGGCUUUUGGCUGAGAGUGGAGGAAAAAGGUCGCCACUUUGACAUCGUUGCGAGUCUUUCAAAAUCCAGUGGGCCGUCCGAUUGAAUUACUGUCCCAAACUAAUUGAUAUAAAUUUGAACAGAAGAAUGCUUGUUACUACAGAAUGUCAUAAUGAUAUCCUUGGCAAGAGCAUGUCAGUGGGAAAAAAAGGAGAAAAGACCAGCACUAGUCACAAAGCAUCUAGACAAGUUGCAGCACAAGACUAUUAACAAAAUUAACAGCAACAAAAUUGUACACCAGUUCCUUCUUCCCAGCCAGUCUGAUCAGACGUUGGAGAAAGAAAAGCAUUAACAUUUCCUUUUGAACCUCAUCCUUUCUUUGAAAACAGGCUUUAAAAAUAUCUACUGGAAAUAAUAAUUGCAGUGUACAAGGGACUGAAACUUGAUGAUCAGUUGCAGAAGUCUCAUUGACUCUACGGGGAUCAUGAAACACAUGAAACCAAUGAAUACUCCUCCAGCGGAGCAAAUUCUUUUCCCAGCAGCCACGAUGAAUAAACAAUUUUCAAGUGACAUCGAGACUACUUGGGAUUCUUUCUGAUUCAGUUGUGCACAUAUGGACUGAUGCCAGUGGAACCAAUGGAAUGUCUCUGGAUAUACAUUCACUGUGACUGAGUGUUGCCAGAAAGCUUUAUGGGGUGGAAGUUGAAAAUUUCAAGCCAACCAUCCGUAGCCAUGUGUAUGAUUGUGUUAUCCACAGUGCUGGUUGGAGCAGUGUGACAGGAGCCAGGACAUGUUGGGAAACAGGGUAUCCCAAUGAUUUGAUCAGUUAAAAUAGCUGAAUGAAGCUGAACCAGGGCAGGGGACAAAUAGGAAGGCUGUGGCAAGACAGGAAACAUGUCCCUAAAAAUCCAGUAACUCUUGCAGCAAGAAGAUGUGGUCCCAAAUAAUGUGCCUGGAUGUGCUGUCGUGGAAAGAUGUGGCGUGGCUUCCUUUACAACGUAAGGAGUCGGUUCUGGAUCUUUAUUAUAAACUUAUUUAGAUUCAUUAGAAAACAUUUCUGUUGUUUUGUUGCCAAAUAGUUCCUAGCACACACUAAAUCAUGUCUUAUUUUAUUCACACUGCACUUCACAGCAGUGCAGCCAGGUGUUAAAUAAUAGUAGAGUUACAUCAGACAGCUUGGCCGUUCAGUUGGGAGAAGCAUCCAAAAGUUCAGAUACCUAUCUGGAAUCCUCCCAAAGGGUGAUGGUCUGGAAACUGAGCUAAAAAAAUAUCACUAGAAGAGCUGCUUUGCAGAGCCAUCCCCUUUUUCUGUUUGUAAGGUACCUUAAGGUACAGAGGUUUGAAUACCUUAAAAUAAUUACAUAAUGUGUUAUUUAAUAAAAGGUACAUGUGAAGCCAAAGAGUCUGGACUUGCUGACUUUUGAUACUGUUUAGUG